UCUCUUUUUUUCAUACAGGUAUUCAUGCCUGCAUGCUCAGGUUAACACUACUUUGUGUACUGCAUCAAUCUCAUACACAAUUAUAUUGAUAUUCUGGACUCAAUUGCCUACGUUUGGGGCAACACCUCUCCUAAAACUCGCCACUGUCCGAUCUACAACAAGAUACCAAUCAUAAGUGCUGCAUUCCAGAGGGUCACCAAUAACAAAUUCCCUUGUUUUGAGCGUUGGAGCAGGCCGAUGAUCGAUCUGCCCAAGCAAGCUGGCCCCUGUGAUUGCAUGUUCUUCCUUUGGAAAUACAUGGAAUAUUGGGACGGCGAGCGCCUCAACAUUGACAUCAAUCCGUUCAAGGGGAUGAUAUACAGGGUUGAGCUGAUGCACUACAGCAUUUUCCACCCCCUGAACCAAGCCGACCUGCCCGAUGAACUGGAUGUCUACAGGCUUGGCGGGAGGAAGAUUGACUGGAGCGGAUCCCAUUGAUGACUCCUCUCUUUUCUUUUGUCUUUCUCUAGAAUUGUGUUGUGUGCCAUGACGUAGUAUCAGCUGUACAAAAAACCUCUCGUUGUAGAUACUCUCUAUCCUUUUUUUCUUUUUUCACGCAACUGGACCUGAGUAUCUGUUUGUUAUGUAGUAGCAACUGUGCGCACCCCUCACUGUGCAACUGUUACACAGCAGUGUCGCAAAUCGUGAUAUGUAAAUAUAUCUAACAAGAUAUUCAUCCAUUUUCCAGUUUAUGCUCAUAUUA